AAAAGAUGUCGGCACCUGCCCCAAUCCAUCCGUGGCAAACCUCUUCCCCUAGCUUCGCGCACGCGUCUCCCCCUCUCUCGCUCGCUAUUUCCCUCGUUCGCUGCACGCCCCUCUUCCCUCCUCCCUAGCGCCACGCCGCCCCAGCCCACCCAUUGAUUCUCCCCGUCGCCGCUGCCCCAUCUGGAAUCCGCCGCGAGCCUGACUCCGGGCGACGACCGGACGAGGAGAGCUCGGCGGCGGGCAGACGCAUCCUUUUGCUCUCUCCCCUUCGACCACCUCCAAUGCCGCCGCACGCCGCAUCGCUUCUCCGCUCUCUCCCCCCUCCCCCAUGAACCACCGCUGCCACACCACGCCGUCCCAAUCCCCAGCCAGCCAUCGCCGAAUCCUUGCUGUUAGGUCGCCGUCGCGGCUGUCUGAUCCUGCUCACGGGGCAGUUACUUAAUCGGCGGCUAGACGAUCAUAUGGCAACCUGAUCCAGUUGGCGAUGGCGGUUGCAAAUCGAUCCCGGCUAGAGGUGACCAGGAUUCAGUGAGGUUGAGGAGUUUGAGGGGAGCAACAUGAGUGAGGUCUUCGAGGGCAACAUAGUACUGUCAGAGAAGAAGAAUGUAAAUAGGCAUACAUGGAAGCACAUGAUAAGAUAUACUCCCUCCGUUUUUUAAUAGAUGACGCCGUUGACUUUUUCUCACAUGUUUGACCAUUCGUCUUAUUCAAAAAUUUUAUGCAAAUAUAUAAGAUAUAAAUCACAUGAGUGAGAAAACAACUCAUAACAAAAUAAAUUAUAAUUACGUAAACUUUUUGAAUAAGACGAAUGGUCAAACAUGUGAGAAAAAGUCAACGGCGUCAUCUAUUAAAAAACAGAGGUAGUAUUAAGUUAUAAGUUACCAUGGUUGAGAUUCUAGAAGUCUGAACUUUGGAAUAUUCAUUGACAAAAGGUAACUCUGAAAGUCAGAACUUUGGUUUGAAAGUUUGAAAGUGUGAAAUUCUGAACAUGCAGUGGCUAAUAUAUAUCGGUCGUCGAGGCGUGGUAAUUAUAUUGAAAUUUCCAAUCAAUUCUAAUAUGGUUGCAUAAUAAAUCACAUUUUAUCCCCCACCGGCUGGGUUUUAUUUCAAUCACAUUUUAUGACAAUGCUGAAAUCGAAAACAAAUAUUUUACAUUUUAUAUGUGCAGCCAACAAGUCAAUUCCCUGUUCUGUUGUUUCUGAACUCUCAUGUUGUGUGUUACUGCUACUGAUGAUAUUAAUGAUACAUUAACUAUUUCCUUUUGCCAUGUAGUAGUUCAGCCAAAUUUUGCUCAAUCAAGUUGUUAUCUCAAGCUAAUUUUAGAGACAGGUUUGGAAAUGCAUUUAGCAGUCAAUUAUGUACUAUGCUAACACAUUGACCAAUUAAUAAAUUGUUGCCUUCUCCAACAAAUACAUGAUACAUUUGCUAUUCUAUACUUUCUCAUAGUUGCUCUGAUUUUCCAAAUGGUUUCGAUUGAGCUUCUAUCAGGUUUUCAGAAUCUUAGCCGAAACUACAAGAGAAGGCCAUCUAUGUCAUUGCUAUCAUGCAUCAUCAAGUACACCUUUUUUUGUCUUGAUCUGAUGUUUUCAUACAAAAACGAAGGAUUAUUUACAUGUCAGUGGUGAUAGCAGAACAUAUAUCAAAUCGAACCAGCGUUGGCAUAUUUGUUUAGUUUUAAUGCUGUCAAACAGAAUUUCCUCAACAUUUAUAGUCACUCUCAUCUUGGGGUUGAUCUUCUUCUUCUUCUUCUUCUUCUUAAGUUAUUUCUAGCUGGGCUUGUAAGAUGAUUUCGUGAAACUUUUUCAUGUGCGUUUAUUCAAUGGAGACAUGUUUCAAGAUAAUUUUGUCUGGAUGA